CACUGUCCUCAAGCUUAAAGCAGGAAUUGACAGAUCGUGGGCGACCCAAUGGCGCCCCACUUCUUGUGUAAUGUUUUCACUUCGAACAAAAACAAGGGAUUAAACCCAGAGCCACCUUGGGCUGGCCUUCUGGGAAAGGUGUGUCUUUUGCGUUAAAUCCUGCCUACUCGAAUUACCCUGCUGCCAUGGCCCCGGAGCUGGAGAGGAAGUGAAAGUAACUUGCAAGCUAAUGUUACAGCUGCCAGAAACAAACACAGAGCAGAUGAAGCCAACAAGCUAGCUAACWUGUUUACCAAUAAACUGUCCUUGUAGCAGGGAAAACAGAAGCAAGAAUCAUUCUUGGUUCCUGGAUCUKAAUCAACUCGACCCCAAAAGAAAAAAAGAAGCGAGCAAAACUCUGCUCAUGACCAAUCCAAAAACCGGAUAAACAUUGGAAUAAAUUUUGAAAGGGAGAUACUGGUGGAGACAGUCUGAUUUCGAGGGAACCUGAGGUUGUAGAAAAAUCAACACCAAAAGAGAGUCUCUGUUUUCUAGCCCUCCCGGUUCUGAGCUGUUCUGCCUGCCCUGACACUGAGCUCGCCUUCCUGACCAUUCAGCCUGCCCUGACCUCGAGCCCGCCUGCCCCCUGUACCUUUUGGACUCUGAUUUGGUUAAUGAACUUCUGCCUGUUCUCGACCUGCCCAUUGCCUGCCCCUUGUAUUCUAAUAAAUAUCAGAGACUCUAACUAUCUGCCUCCUGUGUCUGCAUCUGGGUCUCGCCCUGUGUCGUUAUACAGUUUGGUUUCGGUAGAUAAGUUACUGCCAAUAAACACUGUUAGCAUUUUCGGAAGAAAUACAUUA